rnacentral:tRNA from 1 species
GUAUAUAUAGCUCAGUGGUAGAGCACAUACUUAGCAUGCACAGAGUCCUGGGUUCAAUCCCCAGUACCUCCA